AAGGUUUUAAGUUAAUUUAAACUAAUUAUUUUCAAAAUAAUAAAUAUAUAGCCACAUUUAAAUCUUU
rnacentral:tRNA from 1 species